AGCUGGUGCUUAAAGGAGCUACGGUUGCCAUUUCAAGCAUCCAAGCUAAAUCUGGGUGCUUGCUGAUCCUACUUCCCUGCUGCCCUCUGAAGCAGUCCUCCAUGAACAUGGAGAAGGAGGAUAUUGGGAGGCUGGUCGUCGUAUUAUUCCUCGGCCAACUGGUUUCUUUCUUGCUUGCGGUUGCCAGCUUCACCUCUUCUUUAAUGGCAGACCUGAGUACUGAUACACCACUCACCCAGUCUUUUUUGACAUACCUUUCCCUGUCCCUAGCUUAUGGUGCUGUGUUCCUGUACCGGCGUCAGAAGCUUCUGGUUGCUUGGUAUUGGUAAUUUGUGUUAGCCUUUGUUGAUGUACAAGGGAACUAUUCAGGUAGUCUCUUUGUCUCCAGUUGAAGUUCCAUCUACUUUGAACAAUAAGUUGGUAUCAUAUGAUAAUAUCAUCAAUUUGUUCAUGGAAACUUAUGCAGAGGAUGAGAUUGUUUUCACUAAAAUGUUGUGGGGUCUCUCUUGCCUUUGGAUCUUAGCAUGCCAUACAAUUUUUUGCCUUCUAUUUCUAGCCUAAAGCUGUAGCAAUUCUACUCUCGACCUAGGAGAACAAUGUAUGCAGAAGAUGAUGCAUGUGUCAGUGGACGAAGGUGGUCUCAGAGCUCAAAAGUACCACCUGAGUUCCAAAGCAAUGCAUUAACUUCUCAUUGAACGUUAACAUAUAGAAGUUCAUGAAAACUUUGAUAUGAGGACUCCUUAUUGUUGCUUAUUGUUUUUCGAGUUUAGGUAGUAGGGGAACCAAGGACUCUAAGCCCCCAGGGUCUCCAUUAUCCUUAGAGAUGUUUUUUGGAGUCUACAUACUCCGAAAGGGUAAAACCGUGUGGGUACGCUUAUUCGCUAAAGGCGGACAAUUUUUCGCGAGCCCUUGACUCCCCUUCGGGAGCCUGGAGCCCACCCCUUCUGUAAGGGCAAAAUCGUACGAGUAUGCUUUUCCGCCCAAAGUUAAUAAUUUCUCGCAAGCCCAUCACACCAAUGAUCGCCAACUAAGUGACAUAUCAGUACCUAACCUAUCUUAUCUUCUUCUCAGCUUUUGUAAUUCCAAAACCUAAUACAAUAUACUAUGGAGUUGAAUGGUCUUCAUAUAGCUGUUUUUUUUGUGACUAUAUAUAGAUGCAAGUGUAAUUUAUUCUGUAUUCAUUCUUUUUGUCAUGCAAUUACUAUAAUUCUCUUCUGCCUGUGCUGAUAAUGACAAGGAAAUGUGGAUGUAGCUGUUUUAACUCCUUUGUCAAAUUCACACAUUGGAAGGUCGAAAUAAAAGCUUUGAUUUUCUGAUGGAGUCAUUAAGGAUUACCGGUACUCAUCAAUCACUAGCGUGACACUACUAAAUUGUUGGGCCAUACCGUGGGUCAUAAUUCUCACUUGGCUUGCAUUGGGGACAAGAAUUUGUGUACUAGUCCUUGGUUUGGUGCUUCUCUCCAAUGCAGGUAUAUCUGGUGGAGGUAAUUAAGUCACUACUCUGGCGCUUCAUGACCAUGUUUCCCUUUGCAUCACCAAAAGAUCAUCCAAGCAUCCUCCAUCAGGCUCCUUUUACAGUAUGCAAUUUGUUUGAGUAUUUUGUAGUCAUCUGCACAAGGCAGGUUCAGUGAACAGCCCUUACCCCAGUGGCCAUGAACAUAGUCUAAACUAAAUGACUUGGUUGCAAUAAUGACAACUAAUUUGACUUGCAGGUGGCACAUAACUUAUUAUUGGUGAUAUACUUGUUAUGGCAGGGACAUUUUGUUUUGCAUUCAGCAAUGUUGGUGAGGUUAGUCGGCACUCUGCAAUGUUAAAGACUUGAUAUAUAGUUUAAAUGGUAUUCUAAAAAUCUAUAGCUGAUCUUUUAUGCCUUAUCUACAGUAACAUUUAGGAAUAUUGUGUUAAGAAGAAAGAUCUAGUCGAAGUACUCACAAUGCAUGGGUUUUUUUAGGUGCUACUCAGUGCAUGCGAGAUGUAUCCUUUUCAAUAUCUAUAUGCAAAACUUAGUUUUAACUUUUUCCCUUAUUUCUUCUGCAUUUAUUACUUUAUCAUCAGCUGCUUGUAGAUUUGUUCCUAUAAAGGAUCACUAUAUUGUCAGCUGUAUAUCAGUUUAGAUUAUGUCUUCUCUGGUGUACGUUCCAUAACCCAGGAAAGACCUUGAAUCAGUUAAGUGGUUCGCCACAAUGGUAAGCAUUAUGCAAUGGUAAGAUUGGAAUUCUUUGCAGUAUCAUCUUGUAGUCAUCUUUAUUAAUGUAUCUCAGGAAGCAAAUUAAUAUUAUCAUCAACUGUAUUAGAUGCAUUGAAGCUUUUUCUUUUGUUUCAUGAUAUCUGCUGCUCAUCUGUCUAACCAAAAAUAAUAAUAAUUUUGUUACAUAGUCAUUUUCUGAAGGAAUUGAUUAUCCAAGUUUUCUGGUUUCACAGAUAUCUUUAUUUGUUGGUUUUACAGCAGCAUCACUUCUGUCCUUCUCUAUCAUUCCCUUUGUUUUGAAGGUUAAGUUCCUGCUAACUCAACUUCAUGUUAGUGCCGAAAUGAGCAAAAACAAUCAGCAUUUUUUCUACUUAGUAUUGCAUAACUGAGGUUUUAACUGGUUGUAAGAAAAUUUGGACUCCCAUAGGGUAGCUUAACAAAACAAGAUGGACCUUUCGCAAGUCACCAUUCAUAUUUGAUUCAGAGAUUUUACUGAAAAGCUGAUCUAGAAAUUAGCAAAUGUAAAUUCAUUGUUCCUGCUGAAUAAAAGUUCUAUAAAGUUUCACAUCUAGGUGAUAAAAUGCAAAGUUUUCUUAUAUAUAUCGUGUGGCUUUUAGAGCAAUCAGUUUCAGCAGCCCAGUUGACACUGCUGCAUGAGCUAUUUUCUAGAGGGUUUACAAUUGGGUUUUCCUCUGGUUUUAGACAUGGAAGUUUUGACUUGAAAGCUUUUGUUUCCAUACCACUCUCUGUUAUUUUUUUUAUAAUCUUUUAUUUGGUUUCUAUAAUUUUUCAACAUAUUUAUAAAAUGCAGAAUCCAUGAGAGAACAGUUCGCAUGCAGGAUUGCAUCUAUCAUUUAGCUUACAAAAAAUGGAAUCUUCAUUGGCCAAAAUGGAUCAAUUAAAUAUGUAUCAGACUUUAAGAAAACUGAAUACCACUAUGAGUAUUGGAUCAAAUUGCUCAAAAGAAAAACAAACCAAAAAAAGACAAUUUGUACCCUGAAACCAUUCUUCAUCGACCGGCUUAACUGUGCCUAAUUGAAAUUAUGGCUAGAGAGGAAGUUCGACACGAAAUGAUUUCUGAUUUAUGUAGCUGAACUUAUAAAUGUUGCUUUUUUUCUCUUUUGUCUGACAUUUUCACUUGGGCACCACAAUUUACAUCUAAUCAGUUCAAUAUCUGAUAGAUAAUACACAGUGAGGACCGAUGGCCGUCCUUAAUGCAGCUGAGUGGAGCAACUUUGUUCAAUCUAUCUCUUCUUACAUCCGAUAUAUGGGCAGUGGUCAUUCGCAUUUUCUUUUAUCAUCAACAGGUGGAUUGGUUGUAUUAUCUUGCAUUUGGCCUGGUGGAUAUCGGGCUGAUCAUCUACACAGUGAAGUAAGUUAUAUUUUACGCCGAAGUGUCUCAGAAACAAUGCAAAUGCCACAAUGUCAUGCAAAUUGAAAGGCUAUCUUUUACCAGAUUCUAGAGAUUGAUUCUGCUUCGUCUAAUAUUCUCUAAAAGCCUUUGACUAAUAUUCUCUAAAAUGUUCCAGUUAUCACUAAGUCUGAAUCUUUACAGUAUGAACAACUAACUCAUCAAAGAAAGUUCAGCAACAUGUAAUGCUGUCUUGGUGACCUGAUUACGGUGCAGCCACCGACACAGAGCUUAAAUAAUCUGCAGAUGGUCUAAGAAUGCAAGAAAUAAGUGACCGUCUCAGCAUAUCAGGGUUUAGGUACCGGUACAGAGCAUGCAAGAAAUAAGAGACUGUCUCAUCAUAUGUAUCUGAAUUCCUAAUGUAAUCCUAUGUAGUUUUCAUUGAACGAAGUUGCAGCUAAGAUUUGUACUUGUAAGUAUAGCUGUCUUAGCCCAUUUUUAAAUGUGAGAAGGAUUUUGUAUCAUUCUGAUCGACUGAAAACUUCAACCGAGCUAAGCUGGAUGAAGAGUUAAUCUGCUCCAGAAUUAAAUGAUUAAUUGGAUGAUCACAAUUUCCAAAAGAUAUAGCUAUCGGAAAAUAGAUGAGCUCAAAUUUGUUCUGAGAAGCAAAAUUUUCAGCUUCCACGUUGCUGUUUUUCUCUUUCUCUAUCUGCUACAGAAGGUCACAGGUACUCUGAGGCUCUGUUAUUUGUUAUCCAUCAACUGCAUCACAGCAGCCAUUAGCAUUAAUA